rnacentral:rRNA from 1 species
UACGUAGGGUGCGAGCGUUGUCCGGAAUUAUUGGGCGUAAAGAGCUCGUAGGCGGUUUGUUGCGUCUAUCGUGAAAACCUGCAGCUUAACUGUGGGCUUGCGGUGGAUACGGGCAGACUUGAGUUCGGUAGGGGAGACUGGAAUUCCUGGUGUAGCGGUGAAAUGCGCAGAUAUCAGGAGGAACACCGGUGGCGAAGGCGGGUCUCUGGGCCGUAACUGACGCUGAGACACGAAAGCGCGGGUAGCAAACAGG